GGCGCCGUACCCAAGUGGUAAGGGAGCGGUCUGCAAAACCGUUAUGCAGCAGUUCGACUCUGCUCGGCGCCU
rnacentral:tRNA from 1 species